rnacentral:misc_RNA from 1 species
CCUAGAGUUGUAGGCUUUGCCUGCUAUCUCUUACCCAUGUCUUUUGAGCACCUUACGUUUCCUCGGCGGGUUCGCCCACCGAUUGGACAAUUUAAACCCUUUGCAGUUGCAAUCAGCGUCUGAAAAAACUUAAUAGUUA